rfam:Oryza sativa (indica cultivar-group) chromosome 8, whole genome shotgun sequence.
CCAAAAAACAAACCCUGGUUUUCGUGCUUAAUGUUUGACCGUCUAUUUUAUUUAAAAAUAUUAUAAAAAAAUUUAAAAAGACAAGUCACGCACAAAGUAUUAAUCAUGUUUUAUCAUCUAAUAACAAUAAAAAUACGAAUUAUAAAAAAGAUUUAUAUAAAACAGACAGUCAAAAUUGGAUACGAAUGUUUGCUUUUUUU